GUAUUUCUCGGUCUAAUCAAAUUCAAAUUCUCUGACGUAUUCUGCACCACGAUCUUCUGUACGGUUUAAUCUAAGCCGUUUAUUCUCUUCUUUACGGCCCUGAUCGCAUUCUCUACUUUUGUCUCAUGUGCGACAUUAAUUAAAUUAUCUUAAUUGUCGCUGUCUAUUCAUCAUUAUAGCCGACCUUGGGACUCGUAAUCGAUGCGACAGUUCGAUACGACGGCCUUUUCUUCUUCCCCAAGCUUUCCAUUCUUUUUGCUAUUCUAAUUCUUAUUUCUUUUCCUCGUCUCCUUCACUAAAACCUCUUCUUCGUCUCCUUCAUUCUUCUUUGCAUUUCGUAACCGACUCUCUCGGCUCUUCUCUUCUUUUGAACAAUAUCUUUGGUUCCUCCUCUUCCCUCUCAUCCAUCUCUUGACUAUACUAUACUCAAACCUUUCGUUGACUUAGAUCCAUCUAAAUUCAUAUUAGGUCCUUCUCUUAUAGAUGCACCAUCUCCUACUGACUCCCCUUUCUCUGAUGAGGGACUUCCUUUGAAAAGGAUUAUUCAUCUCCAU
rnacentral:lncRNA from 1 species